AUGAACUCAUACAUAACAAAUGAAAAUCAAAAAGAAAAAACGGAUAAAAGUAACUUAACAAGUCAUAAUUCUUUUAUAUUUACUACUAAUUGUAUAAAAAUGGAGCAAAAUGAUAAAAACAUAAAUAUGGAACUACACGAAAAUGAUCAUACGAACGUAGCAAAUAGUAGUAAUAGUAGUAGUAAUAUUAAUAAAAAUUCACAAAAAAAUAAUGAACAUAUAGAAGAAAUUCGAAAUAAAUUUAUGGAGGAAAUUGUCACAAAACAAGAAACGAAACUUCCAGAAGAAGAAAAAAAUAUCAGUUUAUUAAUUGAAAACAAACUAAAUAAUUUGAUAAAAAAAAAUAAUGAAAAUGAUUAUAUUUUUGAACAAAUACGUAUGAACAUGUCAGAUAAAUACAUACAUAGUGAACAUAAAAAUAAAAAUUUAAGUGAAAGUAAUAUUUCGUUAAAUAAUAAAUGGGAAUUAAAAUCCCAGGGUCAAAUAAUGGCUGAUAGUCAAGUAAUGACCGAUAGUCAGAUAAUUCCAGAUAAUCAAUCCGUGACUAUCCCCUUAGAUAAUGAAAACAGAACUGAAGAUGCUAUUACAUCUAAUAAUAUAAUGAUUAAUAAUAGUGAAAAUGUUCAAUUGGAUAAUAAAAUACGUAAUAUUAUGAACAGUACAGCUAUUAAACAAAAUAGUAAUGAAAAUAUAAAUAUAAUUAAUAAAAAAAUUAUGAAUGUUCAUACUGAUAGCCAUAAAAAAGAUUCAAUAAAAUCUAUUAAUAGUGAACAUGAAAAAAAUAAUGAAAAAAACAAUAACAAUAUAAGUGAUAACAAAAAAAAUAAUAAUAGUAUAUAUAUUAACGAUCAACCCAAUGAAAGUAAUAAAGAAGAAGUAUUAAUAAUAAGUGAAGAAAAUAUAAAUCAAGCAAUAAAAGAAUAUGUAUUAAAAUAUAUUUAUAGAAAAAAAAAUGUAGAUUUUUUAUAUGAUGAAUUAACAUAUGAAGAUAAUGAUACAAUUAAUAAUAAUGCUAGUAAUAAUAGUAUAUCCGGACAAAACAAUAUAAAUAGUAUGUUCGUUGACAGGAAAAUAAAAUAUCCUUCAGGUUUCCCACCUUACUUACCUGAUGAUUGUUCCAUAAAUACAAUAUUACCAUCAUGGGAUAUUAAAUAUAAUUAUAAUUUGGAAGAAAAAAAAAAAAAAAAAAAAAAAGUGAGUUCUGAGUAA
rnacentral:lncRNA from 1 species